GGGAUUGUGGCUCAGUGGUAGAGUGCUUGCCUCACAUGUGUGAGGCACUGGGUUCAAUCCCCAGUACCA
rnacentral:tRNA from 1 species